CAAAUGGGUUGGAAGACCAGAUGGGAUCUGUCCAGUGUUCCCCAUGUUACCUUCUCCUUAGUUUAUUAUUACAAGGAUUUAUACUUCUGUUUUGGAAAUGUUAGCAACACUUUUCUAAUCCUAAAUUUUCAGCAGAAUUUGGUGUAGAUGGAACACAAAUUAAGCCACUAUUGUGUAAGGCUGCUUUCAGCACUUGGGAAAGGAUGCCUUCUAAAGCCAGCUCCUCCAUGGAAGGUGCUCCCCUUCUUCAUCUUUGGGAUGGUGGCAAAAAUGAUUUGUUUCUAGGGGUAUGGAAGCUGGGCUUGCAGGUGAUGCUCGAUUCAUUUUGGUUUUGUUGGGGCUUGUUUCCUUUGCACUUUGGUAUGGAUUUCUGGUGCGUGCUCAGGAGGGAUUUUGCAUCUCGGUUUCUUUGGUGGUCCUGAAGGCAGCGCAAAAUUAAUGCAGCACUUAAAGAGAACGUUAUUAAAACGUUAUUCAGAGGUGAGCAGCAGAGGCAUAGAAAAUGCAUAUAUAUUAAAUACAUAUGAAUAUAUAUGCAUAUAUAUUCAUGUUUUUUUCUAGAAGAUGGAAUUCUAAAAACAGCUCUGGUUUUACCAGUCCGAACACCAACUUGCUUUUGUUGUGUCACUCUCCACAAUGAGAGGAGGUUUACCCCAAUAAUGAUUUUUACCUUGUGAAUUUGGUUGUGAUAUUUUAUUCCCUUUCCCUCUCUACCACACACAAUUCUCUCUCACAGGGUUUAGGGUCACCCUGUUGGGUCUGUGGGAGAUCAUGAACCCUCACAAAUUUUAGGAAAAAUCACAUCUGAUGCACGCACGCCAAAGGCAUUCCUGAAUCCGCAAGUGUCUUUUAUUUAUUUCUCUUUCAAAGAGCAAUAAAAUGUUGCUCGAGAGGGAGAGGUCUCGUAGAGCUGGGAGCGAGCCCUGCUGCACACAAUGAGGGCAGAGCAGUGGCUAUUUUCAUAGUGCUGUGAUGCUGAAGGGAGGUGUCAGCGUUGGGCACCACGGAACCACCUCACCGCUGCCUGAAGUCGCGUCUGAGCUCAGUUUUCUUUGCACUUUAUUGCACAUGAGUUCUGCUCUUGGCUGCCGGUUCCUCCCUUCAGACUCCCAAAGGCAGAGGGAAUUGGAUCCUAAAUCCAUUCAGAAAGAAACACUAACUUUCAGCCAGCUCAGCUUUUCCUGUUUACUUCCAUGUAAAAGGCAUCAUUGGUGAUAUCACUCCAAGCCUAGAAAAGAGGUACAGGCACUGAAAUUGGCUUUUGGACACCUGGGCACCCAUCCAGACUUCUCAGAGCAUCCAUUCAGCAGCUGCAUUACUGGACUGAAUCUAUGAACCCAGGCUUUCUAAAAUAAUAACAGUAAUAAUGACAAUCCCCAUUGACCCCAAAAGUCAAAGGAAGAGACGUCAGUGUAGAAGCUGCAAUAGCUCCGGGACUGAGAAGCUGAUGUGCCCCAGUUACACAGCUUUGCAAAACCUUCUUGCACAAACAGGGAUGAACGCCAUAGAGCAGCUGUGUCAUCAAGUGCCAUGUUUAUUUCUUCUGAUCUGGAAAGCCCAAAUAUUUUUGUAGUUCAGGAAGACACCGAGUCCCAAUAAAAGCAGUUACUGGCUUAGAGUUCACUCUGUAGUUUGGCCACAGUUCUUAUAUUAUACACAACUGAAAGCAAGAAAACUCAAGUGUGGUCUCCUGUAAACCCCCCGUGAUCAUCAAAACAGGCUCUGAUUUUGUGUCUCCAUGUCUGUGACUCGUUUGCUGCUCAGCAAUAAAGGUACUGCAUGUAAACUAA